rnacentral:lncRNA from 1 species
CUCAGCGUCACCAGCAUUUGACUUAUGGGUGUACACCAUCACACCUGGGCUUUUAUGUGGGUACCGAGUAUUGAACUCAGAUCCUCACAGUUGUGCAGCAAUCCCCCUGGGCUCUUAACUCUGUACCCUGCCUGCCUUUGUAUAGGUACCAUGUUUGGGUUUUGUUACUUUGUGGUAAGUUUAGAAAUCUGAAAGAGUGAACCUACCAAUUUUGAUCCUCCAUAUUGUUUUGGUCAUUCUGGAUGUCUUGCAGUUCCAUACGGGUUAUAGGCUACGUUUGUUCAUUUCUAUGAAGAAAGCAAGUGAGCUCCAGACAGAGGCGUGCAAGUCUAUAGAUCACAUGUGAAGUCUCAUGAGACACCAAUAUCACCUGCCUUCCAGGUUGUUAAUCAGAGGACAUCGAUCACUUCAUCCGACAGGCAACGCUUCACUUUCACCCAGUCCCUGCAUAAUCCCUGUUCCACAGUGCAGCCAGAGUGAUGCUUCCAACACAAAAAUGCCAGCUUUGGACCCGUGGGCAGCUCAGUGGGCUACAGCACUUCCUGCACAUCCCAAGACACCCAACUUUCAUCCCAGAACCCAAGUGAAGUGGAAAGAGAGAACAAGCCCCACAGACGGUCCUCUGACCUCCACACACUCGCUGUGGCGCACUUGCCCACACAGGUAUCAGGCGCGCACACACAGUAAUGAUAAAAAAUGGAUGAAAUACAAAUCUGAUCCAGACACACUUACUGACAGCCCCUAAAGAGUGUUCUUUUUUAAUCUUAUGUGCACGUGUGUGUAAGCCAUGUGUGUGUCGGUACUUAACGGGGUCCAGGAGAGGUAUUGAAUCCCUGGAAUGGGAAUUCUAAGUAGCUAGGAGCUGCUGUGAUGGCGAUGGGAAUGUGAAUUUAGGUCCUC